UUCGAUUCUGGCUCAGGAUGAACGCUGGCGGCGUGCCUAAUACAUGCAAGUGAAACGGGUAUCUUCGGAUACCAGUCGCGGACGGGUGAGUAAUACAUAGGCAACCUGCCUUUAUGAGGGGGAUAACCGAGGGAAACUUUGGCUAAUACCGCAUGAAGACUCUAAGGCAUCUUAGAGGGAUAAAAGUUGGGAAACAACGCAUGAAGAUGGGCUUAUGGCGCAUUAGCUAGUUGGUGAGAUAGAAGCCCACCAAGGUAAUGAUGCGUAGCCGACCUGAGAGGGUGAACGGCCACAUUGGGACUGAGACACGGCCCAAACUCCUACGGGAGGCAGCAGUAGGGAAUUUUCGGCAAUGGGGGGAACCCUGACCGAGCAACGCCCGCGUGAAGGAAGAAGGUUUUCGGAUUGUAAACUUCUGUUAUAAGGGAAGAACGGAUUGGAUAGGGAAUGAUCUGAUAGUGACGGUACCUUAUUAGAAAGCCACGGCUAACUACGUGCCAGCCGCCGC
rnacentral:rRNA from 1 species